UAUCUGCAGCAACCACAUCUUUGUCUUUUUGCUGUCCGAGACAUUAAACCAGGAGAAGAGAUUACUUACAGCUAUGGAGACUGGGAUUGGCAAGCCAAGCGUUCAUCACCUGCUCCUGUGACUGCUACAUCAUCCUCAUCCUCAUCCUCACCUGUGAGGAAAAGUUCAUCACCUGCCCCUGUUACUGCUACAUCAUCCUCAUCCUCAUCUGUGAGGAAAAGUUCAUCACCUGCCCCUGUGACUGCUACAUCAUCCUCAUCCUCAACUGUGAGGAAACGUUCAUCACCUGCCCCUGUGACUGCUACAUCAUCCUCAUCCUCACCUGUGAGGAAAAGUUCAUCACCUGCCCCUGUGACUGCUACAUCAUCCUCAUCCUCACCUGUGAGGAAACGUUCAUCACCUGCCCCUGUGACUGCUACAUCAUCCUCAUCCUCACCUGUGAGGAAAAGUUCAUCAUCUGCCCCUGUGACUGCUACAUCAUCCUCAUCCUCACCUGUGAGGAAACGUUCAUCACCUACCCCUGUGACUGCUACAUCAUCCUCAUCCUCACCUGUGAGGCAGCGUUCAUCAUCUGCCCCUGUUACUGCUACAUCAUCCUCAUCCUCAUCCUCACCUGUGAGGAAAAGUUCAUCACCUGCUCGUGUGACUGCUACAUCAUCUUCAUCCUCACCUGUGAGGAAAAGUUCAUCACCUGCCCCUGUGACUGCUACAUCAUCCUCAUCCUCACCUGUGAGGAAAAGUUCAUCACCUGCCCCUGUGACUGCUACAUCAUCCUCAUCCUCACCUGUGAGGAAACGUUCAUCACCUGCUCCUGUUACUGCUACAUCAUCCUCAUCCUCACCUGUGAGGAAAAGUUCAUCACCUGCCCCUGUGACUGCUACAUCAUCCUCAUCCUCACCUGUGAGGCAGCGUUCAUCAAGAAAAAGACAGCAGGAGAGGUUUCAGUCAAGAUUGGUCAAACUACGGGAACAUCAUAACAAUUGCUCCAAGCGCUUCAAUAGAGCAGAAGUUGAAAAAACCAACAGAACAAAAAAGACUGCCAUACUUGAGGAUUGCGUUGUAUUCGAGUCAUCUGAUGCACCCUGUGCUAUGUGUACCUCUGUAAAGGCAUCACCACCCUCUCGCCCUUCUUCACUCCCUUCAUCAUCAUCAUCAUCAGCUGCCCCUGUGAUGGGCACAUCAUCUUCAUCCUCCCCAUCAUCACCUGCCCCUUUGCCCUGUGAUGCAUCCACUUCUGUGAUCUCUCCAUCACAGGUGUCCCAGACACUCUCAAUAAGGGAGGUUCAUCAAUCCCUUCAAAAAGAAAAUGGGAGGACUCUGAGGUAA
ensembl:lncRNA